CGGGGUAACGGCCCACCAAACCGACGAUGGAUAGGGGUUCUGAGAGGAAGGUCCCCCACAUUGGUACUGAGACACGGACCAAACUCCUACGGGAGGCAGCAGUGAGGAAUAUUGGUCAAUGGGCGUAAGCCUGAACCAGCCAAGUCGCGUGAGGGAUGAAGGUUCUAUGGAUCGUAAACCUCUUUUAUAAGGGAAUAAAGUGCGGGACGUGUCCCGUUUUGUAUGUACCUUAUGAAUAAGGAUCGGCUAACUCCGUGCCAGCAGCCGCGGUAAUACGGAGGAUCCGAGCGUUAUCCGGAUUUAUUGGGUUUAAAGGGUGCGUAGGCGGCCUUUUAAGUCAGCGGUGAAAGUCUGUGGCUCAACCAUAGAAUUGCCGUUGAAACUGGGGGGCUUGAGUAUGUUUGAGGCAGGCGGAAUGCGUGGUGUAGCGGUGAAAUGCUUAGAUAUCACGCAGAACCCCGAUUGCGAAGGCAGCCUGCCAAGCCAUGACUGACGCUGAUGCACGAAAGCGUGGGGAUCAAACAGGAUUAGAUACCCUGGUAGUCCACGCAGUAAACGAUGAUCACUAGCUGUUUGCGAUACACUGUAAGCGGCACAGCGAAAGCGUUAAGUGAUCCACCUGGGGAGUACGCCGGCAACGGUGAAACUCAAAGGAAUUGACGGGGGCCCGCACAAGCGGAGGAACAUGUGGUUUAAUUCGAUGAUACGCGAGGAACCUUACCCGGGUUUGAACGCAUUYGGACCGAGGUGGAAACACCUUUUCUAGCAAUAGCCGUUUGCGAGGUGCUGCAUGGUUGUCGUCAGCUCGUGCCGUGAGGUGUCGGCUUAAGUGCCAUAACGAGCGCAACCCUUGCCACUAGUUACUAACAGGUAAAGCUGAGGACUCUGGUGGGACUGCCAGCGUAAGCUGCGAGGAAGGCGGGGAUGACGUCAAAUCAGCACGGCCCUUACAUCCGGGGCGACACACGUGUUACAAUGGCGUGGACAAAGGGAUGCCACCUGGCGACAGGGAGCGAAUCCCCAAACCACGUCUCAGUUCGGAUCGGAGUCUGCAACC
rnacentral:rRNA from 1 species